AGAGUUUGAUCCUGGCUCAGGACGAACGCUGGCGGCGUGCUUAACACAUGCAAGUCGAACGGAAAGGCCCUGCUUUUGUGGGGUGCUCGAGUGGCGAACGGGUGAGAAACACGUGAGUAACCUGCCCUUGACUUUGGGAUAACUUCAGGAAACUGGGGCUAAUACCGGAUAGGAGCUCCUGCUGCAUGGUGGGGGUUGGUAAGUUUCGGCGGUUGGGGAUGGACUCGCGGCUUAUCAGCUUGUUGGUGGGGUAGUGGCUUACCAAGGCUUUGACGGGUAGCCGGCCUGAGAGGGUGACCGGCCACAUUGGGACUGAGAUACGGCCCAGACUCCUACGGGAGGCAGCAGUGGGGAAUAUUGCGCAAUGGGCGGAAGCCUGAUGCAGCAACGCCGCGUGCGGGAUGGCGGCCUUCGGGUUGUAAACCGCUUUCGCCUGUGACGAAGCGUGAGUGACGGUAAUGGGUAAAGAAGCACCGGCUAACUACGUGCCAGCAGCCGCGGUGAUACGUAGGGUGCGAGCGUUGUCCGGAUUUAUUGGGCGUAAAGGGCUCGUAGGUGGUUGAUCGCGUCGGAAGUGUAAUCUUGGGGCUUAACCCUGAGCGUGCUUUCGAUACGGGUUGACUUGA
rnacentral:rRNA from 1 species